rnacentral:rRNA from 1 species
ACGCUGGCGGCACGCCUAAUACAUGCAAGUCGAACGAAGUAGCAAUACUUAGUGGCAGACGGGUGAGUAACAUGUGGGUAUCUUCCCUUUGGUGAGGAAUAACACGAGGAAACUUGUGCUAAUACCUCAUAAGUCUUUACGGAGAAAGCUUUAUGCGCCAUUGGAUGAGCCUGCACUUGAUUAGUUUGUUGGUGGGGUAAUGGCCUACCAAGACUUUGAUCAAUAGCUGAUUUGAGAGGAUGAUCAGCCACAUUGGGACUGAGACACGGCCCAAACUCCUACGGGAGGCAGCAGUAGGGAAUCUUGCACAAUGGAGGAAACUCUGAUGCAGCGAUGCCGCGUGAGUGAAGAAGGCCUUUGGGUUGUAAAGCUCUUUCGUCGGGGAAGAAAAUGACUGUACCCGAAUAAGAAGGUCCGGCUAACUUCGUGCCAGCAGCCGCGGUAAUACGAAGGGACCUAGCGUAGUUCGGAAUUACUGGGCUUAAAGAGUUCGUAGGUGGUUAAAAAAGUUGGUGGUGAAAUCCCAGAGCUUAACUCUGGAACUGCCAUCAAAACUUUUUAGCUAGAGUAUGAUAGAGGAAAGCAGAAUUUCUAGUGUAGAGGUGAAAUUCGUAGAUAUUAGAAAGAAUACCGAUUGCGAAGGCAGCUUUCUGGAUCAUUACUGACACUGAGGAACGAAAGCAUGGGUAGCGAAGAGGAUUAGAUACCCUCGUAGUCCAUGCCGUAAACGAUGUGUGUUAGACGUUGGAAAUUUAUUUUCAGUGUCGCAGUGAAAGCAAUAAACACACCGCCUGGGGAGUACGACC